UACAGAGGUCUCAAGCGUUGUUCGGAUUCAUUGGGCGUAAAGGGUGCGUAGGCGGCGCGGUAAGUCGGGUGUGAAAUCUCGGAGCUUAACUCCGAAACUGCAUUCGAUACUGCCGGGCUAGAGUCCGGAAGAGGUGAGUGGAAUUCCUGGUGUAGCGGUGAAAUGCGCAGAUAUCAGGAGGAACACCGAUGGCGAAGGCAGCUCACUGGGACGGUACUGACGCUGAGACGCGAAAGCGUGGGGAGCAAACAGG
rnacentral:rRNA from 1 species